UCGUGAGAUGUUGGGUUAAGUCCCGCAACGAGCGCAACCCUUAUUGUUAGUUGCUACCAUUUAGUUGAGCACUCUAGCGAGACUGCCCGGGUUAACCGGGAGGAAGGUGGGGAUGACGUCAAAUCAUCAUGCCCCUUAUGUCUAGGGCUACACACGUGCUACAAUGGUCGGUACAAUGAGAUGCAACCUCGCGAGAGUGAGCAAAACUAUAAAACCGAUCUCAGUUCGGAUUGUAGGCUGAAACUCGCCUACAUGAAGCUGGAGUUGCUAGUAAUCGCGAAUCAGAAUGUCGCGGUGAAUACGUUCCCGGGCCUUGUACACACCGCCCGUCACACCAUGAGAGUUGGCAAUACCCAAAGUUCGUGAGCUAACGCGUAAGCGAGGCAGCGACCUAAGGUAGGGUCAGCGAUUGGGGUGAAGUCGUAACAAGGUAGCCGUAGGAGAACCUGCGGUUGGAUCACCUC
rnacentral:rRNA from 1 species